rnacentral:lncRNA from 1 species
GUUCCAGGCCCCAUUCUAAUUGCUUUAUAUGUAUGAAAUGAUUCACAGCAAUUCUCCACAAUUCUUUAAGGUACAGUCUGUUAUCAUCUUUAUUGCAUAGAUGAGAAAACAAGCCCAAAGAGAGCAACAUGGAUGGAGACAGAUAAAGGAACUAACAGGAACAGAAAACCAAAUGCUGCAUAUUCUCACUUCUAAGUGG